UACGGAGGGUGCGAGCGUUGUCCGGAAUCAUUGGGCGUAAAGGGCGCGUAGGUGGCGGGACAAGCGUGCGGUGAAAGCCUGGGGCUCAACCCCGGGUCGGCCGUGCGAACUGUUUUGCUUGAGCACUGUAGAGGCAGGCGGAAUUCCGGGUGUAGCGGUGGAAUGCGUAGAGAUCCGGAAGAACACCAGUGGCGAAGGCGGCCCGCUGGGCAGUGGCUGACGCUGAGGCGCGACAGCGUGGGGAGCAAACAGG
rnacentral:rRNA from 1 species